rnacentral:rRNA from 1 species
UACGUAGGGUGCGAGCGUUGUCCGGAAUUAUUGGGCGUAAAGGGUGCGUAGGCGGUUUGGUAAGUCUGAUGUGAAAUCUAUGGGCUCAACUCAUAGUCUGCAUCGGAAACUGCCGGGCUUGAGUGUGGGAGAGGUGAGUGGAAUUCCUGGUGUAGCGGUGAAAUGCGUAGAUAUCAGGAGGAACACCUGUGGCGAAAGCGGCUCACUGGACCACAACUGACGCUGAUGCACGAAAGCUAGGGGAGCAAACAGG